rnacentral:rRNA from 1 species
GGCUUUAACUGACGCUGAGGCACGAAAGCAUGGGUAGCAAACAGGAUUAGAUACCCUGGUAGUCCAUGCCGUAAACGAUGAUUACUAGGUGUGGGGGGAUUGACCCCUUCCGUGCCGCAGUUAACACAAUAAGUAAUCCACCUGGGGAGUACGGCCGCAAGGUUGAAACUCAAAGGAAUUGACGGGGGCCCGCACAAGCAGUGGAGUAUGUGGUUUAAUUCGAAGCAACGCGAAGAACCUUACCAGGUCUUGACAUCGAGUGACGUAUCCAGAGAUGGAUAUUCCCUACGGGGCACGAAGACAGGUGGUGCAUGGUUGUCGUCAGCUCGUGUCGUGAGAUGUUGGGUUAAGUCCCGCAACGAGCGCAACCCUUGCUGUUAGUUGCUACGCAAGAGCACUCUAACAGGACUGCCGUUGAUAAAACGGAGGAAGGUGGGGACGACGUCAAAUCAUCAUGCCCCUUAUGACCUGGGCUACACACGUACUACAAUGGCCGUAAACAAAGGGAAGCAAAGGAGCGAUCCGGAGCAAACCCCCAAAAACGGUCCCAGUUCAGAUUGUAGGCUGCAACCCGCCUACAUGAAGUGGAAUGCUAGUAAUC